rnacentral:rRNA from 1 species
UACGGAGGGUGCGAGCGUUGUCCGGAAUCACUGGGCGUAAAGGGCGCGUAGGCGGCGCGGAUAGUCGGCGGUGAAAGCCCGGAGCUCAACUCCGGGUCGGCCGUCGAUACUUCCGGGCUUGAGCACUGUAGAGGCAGAUGGAAUUCCGGGUGUAGCGGUGGAAUGCGUAGAGAUCCGGAGGAACACCGGUGGCGAAGGCGGGUCUCUGGGCAGUAACUGACGCUGAGGAGCGAAAGCGUGGGGAGCGAACAGG